rnacentral:sRNA from 1 species
AGCCAGAGGCCCAUAUCGUUGGAGGUAUUGGAUUGGGUGGUUCGUCCCCUCUAUAUCACAAUGGCGCUGGUGGUUGUUGAGCGUUUUUGCUCCAGUGGCCCAAUACCUAUAUUGCCACAUUUCACCUCGCUUGGCCGACGAGCAAACUGUUGAGAGGUUGAGAAUUAUUUCCAUAGUCUUAUAGAGAUGGGCAGGAGACUGGCCAUUUUGUUCGAUCUCAUAGUCGCUCACUCAAGAGGCCACACGAAAAAUAUGUAAAUCUCAUUGCAUACCUCACAUCGACAGGGCCCGGAGUUUGAGUUAAAAAAAAAAAAAAAAUAUGGGUUCAUUUUCCCAAUAUUCCAGCAGCGGAAUCGCAGAAGGGAAGAGAAGCAUGCGCGGGAUGCCUUUGAAUACAGCCAUGAAUAUAAAUAGGGGGAACGCAUUAUGAGUAACAUCUACUCCGUAUUUACUUUUCAAUCCUAAAUAGCCAACCAAGAUGCUCAUUAUGGCCAUUGUGUUACAUAAUGCUUUGACUCUGUGCAAACGGCGGGACAGAUGGAAUUGUCCUAGACUGGGAACGAUUGAAGUACUGGACAGG